AGGGUCUAGUUAAAAAAAAUUUCCCUAGCUCAAUUCAUUUGCUCUCUUCUAGAUAGUCAGUGUUACGCAUUCUCUCCCAAGGCUUGAUAAGUCAUCGUUUGUAGCUGCGCCCAGUCUGCCAGAUCUUGCCAUGGACAGAAAAUUUUUCCUUCUGCAUACGUGUUCUUGCCGUCUAGCUACGAGUUUGUCUGUGUUGCUACUGUUUGACAUCAUGCGUCGUUAUGCGUGGGUCCGAUGAUCUCUGUUUACUAGCUGAGGUCCGUCUCUAUUAACGGUGCGCCAUCUCCCACAACCUUAUUGCCUCACCUUCCCAGAUCUAUGCUCAUUGUCUCCCAUAGCCACAUCACCUCACCUUCUCUGAUCCAUGCUCAUCUUGCCCGACUCCUUACAUUUCAUGCUUUCAUUUCGCUGUAAGGUAUUUGAAAUCAUGGGUUUUUGUUUGGGUUUUGAAAAGUUGAAAAAAAUGAAAUGAUAGAUUUUAGGUUUAUAAUGGUUUAUACAUGGAAAUUGAGAUGAGAUCGGGAUAUUGAUGAGUGUGAUGCUGUGUCUGUGAGUCUGCAUAAGUUUGUGGGUGGUUCUGGUUCUCCUAGUGUGCUCUUGAUAAGGAAGGCCCUUUAUAGGUUGGGAUCUUCAUUGCCAUUUGCAGAGUUGGAAUCGUGAGCUCGUCAAUGGCUUUAAUGAAAUGGAUUGGUGGUACUUCUGUUGGUUAACUAUGGUGGUAGGGAUGCUUCGGAAAGAAAUUCAAUAGAUUCAUUUACAAUAUCCAAUGUUAGUAUAGGAUCUGACAAGUGAGAAUGUCUUGGCAUCAAACGGUGGUAGCUAAUAAUAUCUUCUGUACUUUUAAUGAGAUUCUCUGAUGAAUUGUUUAGAACUUAACCUCACUUUAAUGGCUUGACAUGAGAUGUAACUUCAUUACUUAAGCUUAUAAGUUGAAGCAGUUAUUGACAUGAUACUAAAGCUUAUAUCACUAAGUGAUGAAGGGACGAAUCCUUGAUAUUGCUCACUGGUGAACUACUUUAUUUGGCUGUUUGUCACUUAUUCGAAAUAUUUGUUUAUGAUAUUUUCUUUCUGUUGUAGGAUAAUACCUGAGUUUGCACACUCAGCAGAUGACAAGGCUACUCAAUAUUUUAACAUCAAACUCUAGCGCAUCCCUAUUAACAAAUUAAAAGAUUUCAAGCAGAUCCAAAAGCAAUUCAACAUCAUAUUAACAAAAAUACCAUCUUGGUGACACGUGUAUUCGGACUUAUAUCAAUUGGUCCUCAAGGAAGUGCAAGAAGAGCAUUUUGGACAUAAGUGGCAUGCAAAUGGCUAGGAGGAUGGAGUAGAUUAGAUUUCCUAAAUGCAAAGCAUGACAAUAUUCAUAGUAGCUGAAACGGACAAAAGAAAAAACUUAAUGCACGAGAGUUACAGAAAUGAAGCCAAAAUGUGUUUCGUUACCCCUUCAUUAAGCCAAUAAAAUGUCUAGCAUUUAUAUUUGUAACGUUUUAGCUAAUUGCCUGUUUUCAUUUAGAGUCUUAACACUAUAAUUAGGACUCGCUUUGUUGUAAGAGAGCUCAGACGAGAAAUAAAAAUUCAAAGUUUUCUCUUUUCA